AUCCCCCCAGCAGCUAUCUAUGGUUGGGUUCUUUCUCCUUUGCUUAUUCACUUUUUAUUUUAUUUUUAUUUUUAGUGACUUGUUUUUAUAAUCACCUCUAGUCCCAGGUAGUCAGGGAGAGUGCCUGUUAUUUUUUGAGCUUUGUCCAGGGCCCAGUCUCACUAUUCCAUGCUGGGAGUACUUUUGCUUCCUGAAGGCUCUUCAGUGUCUGCUCUGGAACCGAAACCAAGAACUCAGCAGUUCUAUAAGAGCCCUCACCAGGUGUGUACUGGUUUCUUCUCUUGGUAUCCAGAGCCCAAGAUGGGGCGUCAGCAGCACAGCUGGGCCUGGCAUCUGUCUUUGACAGAAGAGUCCUCAAUCUCCCCCUGCAAGUGUCUGACCCCCCACUGUCUGAGGUGGAACUUCCUGUGGUUGAGGCUGCCCCCCACCCCAGCUGUCGCAGCUGAGAUAAUCUAAAGAUUUCUUUGCUAUAAGUUAAAAGCAGAUCCCAGAAGUACACCAGGAGGGAGGAACCCUAAAGAUGGCAAGAUUGUAAACUGCUCAAAAGUCUUGUUCCAGAGACCAAGUCUUUACAAUAUCUAACUGGACAAGCAGAUAAGCUCAUGACUUAAAUGUCCAUUCAUUAGAACACUGAUGAGAAAGACAUGGACAGAAAAUUGGGGCAGACUUUUAGUUCAGAAACCAGUGGGAAGAGGUGUAAUAGCCUCAAAUCAAGGCAAUUUACUGGAGCCAUACUGAAGGUGGGGGUGAACUGAACAUCACACAUAGCUUCAACUUCACUGCUUUAGUGAACUAGAAUGAGAAUUCUCACAAUUGGGAAGUGUUUGCACUUAGGGGGUGUUUGCAUUUCACUCAGGCCAAACCUUUGUCCUGGGUCUAGCCGCAGUUCCCGUUGUCCCAGGAGGACUGCUUCUGGGCCCCAACUCUUGUUUGUUUUUGCUAUUCUACAUUUCCUGUGAGAUGCUAUUUUGUCUUUUUUAUGGAGGAAAUGUGGAGAGUUUGAAAUUUUCAGACCUAUUCUCCCAUCUUCCCAGAAUCCCCCCUAAAUCAUAGUUUAAAAGUCAUUGAUUCUAACCUCUCCUUUCACAGAUGAGAAACUGAAACCCCAAGAAGUCACCUUGUCUCAGGUCACAAUGUCUAAGAGUUGAACCCAGGUCUUCCUGACUAUGCCCAGUGCUCUGCCAACCGCACCAUGCCCUUUUGUUAUGAGAAAUUGCUUCACAAAGCACUCUAUAAAUACAAGCUAUUUUAAUUAUCCUUUUUCAAGUGAGGAAUGAUUCACAGUUGCAGUUUGGAGGGGCAAUCUAGUAUGAGCUAUGCUUGAAUAGAAGUCUCCCCUACAAUGCACCCUCCAAGUGAUCAUCUGUCUUUUGCCUAAGAACUGCCAUCUUUUGUCUGAAACCUCCACGAAAGGGAACUUGCAGCCUCUUAAGGCAAUCCUUUCUCCUUUCUGAGUACUGCAGCUCUAAUAAAAUUCCUCAGAAACUGUUCCUUCCAGCCCUUCUCUGAAGCUUCGAGGAUCAAAGAUUUAGAAUCAGAAAGCACUUCACUUCACAGAUGAAGAACUUGGCUGCAGAAAGAUUAGAUUCCCAAGAUCAUACAGGUCUGCAAAGCACAUUUGAUUACCAUAAUGACCCUAUGAGCUUAAAAGAGAAAUGAAUCAACAAAUUCACUGACCUCGGUUAAGAAGCCCUGCAUGAGAGGAAAGAUCUGAUGAGAGAAUAUAAUGGAACAGGGGAUUCAGUGAAGCCUUCUGGUCAAAAUCUCCAGGUCUGUUCUGGACCCAAGCUUAUUUGAUGCUGCCUCCAUCUGGGAGCUCAAGAAGCACAUCUCCAAACAGGAUUUCCUUGGAGCCACAGAUAUCACCCCUUUAAUAUCUAUUGAAAUGAGCUGUCCAGAAAUGCAGUUUGCGGUUGGCUGUUGAAGGUGUACAAACAGCGGUGCUAGGUUUGAGGGACCUGUAGAAACUCUGUUCAGGUAAGACAAGUUACAAGUUCAAAACCAGUGUUGCCACAUUUAAGUAGAUUAACUUGGACUUAAAACAUUGAUCUAUCUCUUCUGGGUCUGCCUUUUCUAGCCCUGAUCCUUCUGCUUCUGGUCCAAGGUUCUCUUACCCCCUGGCUCCCUGGUAAAUCUCCCUCUCAGAUCAAACCCCUUAGUCUCAUGUUGAAACUGUCCUCACAACAACAACUUUGGCCAGGGAAGGGACUCUGUUCUCCCUUCCACUCCUUAUCACUUACUGAUCCAUAUCUGUGGGCUUAGGGUUGCUCACAUUUAAAGUAUUUAAAUAUUUAAGAAUCCUCUGGCCAAUGCUGAACCGUUGCUUCAAUGUCAAGCCCUCCCACUUCAGAGUCUUCUGAUUGCUAGUACCUUGUAUUGAUUGUUAGUCCUGGAUAACGUUCCUUACCUGCCUUCCUCCUGUUCUGGAUAACUGCUGCCCGUUCAGCUACCUGAUUUCUCAUGUAACCAUAUCCACGCUGCUCUGCUACUGUCCGUGGUCCUGGACCUUACAGAUUCUUCUCAGUACCUAAUCCUCUUGUCACUCGGUUCCAAGGGAACAUGUCUAAUAGCCACUUUCUCAUUACAUUUGUUCAGAAGUCAGCCAGAAAGAGUUACACUUAGAAGUCUGAGUACAAGAAUGCACUAUUUCCAUGCUAUUAUUGCAUAAUUUGAAACUAUGCAAAGAAAAUGAUUAAAUGUUUAUUCCUUCUGAUCCAGUCAUUCCACUUCAAAGUAUUUGUUCUAAGGAUGUAAA